rnacentral:rRNA from 1 species
UCUGGUUGAUCCUGCCAGUAGUCAUAUGCUUGUCUCAAAGAUUAAGCCAUGCAUGUCUAAGUAUAAGCAAUUUAUACAGUGAAACUGCGAAUGGCUCAUUAAAUCAGUUAUCGUUUAUUUGAUAGUUCCUUUACUACAUGGUAUAACUGUGGUAAUUCUAGAGCUUAUACAUGCUUAAAAUCUCGACCCUUUGGAAGAGAUGUAUUUAUUAGAUAAAAAAUCAAUGUCUUCGGACUCUUUGAUGAUUCAUAAUAACUUUUCGAAUCGCAUGGCCUUGUGCUGGCGAUGGUUCAUUCAAAUUUCUGCCCUAUCAACUUUCGAUGGUAGGAUAGUGGCCUACCAUGGUUUCAACGGGUAACGGGGAAUAAGGGUCCGAUUCCGGAGAGGGAGCCUGAGAAACGGCUACCACAUCCAAGGAAGGCAGCAGGCGCGCAAAUACCCAAUCCUAAUUCAGGGAGGUAGUGACAAUAAAUAACGAUACAGGGCCCAUUCGGGUCUCGUAAUUGGAAUGAGUACAAUGUAAAUACCUUAACGAGGAACAAUUGGAGGGCAAGUCUGGUA